CUAUACAAUUAAUAUUACUUAACAUUUUUGGUUAUUGAAGUUUAGUUUAUUAUGAAUUUAUAAUUUAAUUUUUAGGUGAAAUUUAAAUAUUUUUUAAUUUUAUUUCUUUUACUUUUAAAAUCAAAAUUUAAACUAGGAUUAGAUACCCUAUUAUUUUGUUUAUAAAUUAAUUGCCUGGGUAGUAUUAGUUAUGUUCUUUAAACCCAAAGGAUUGGCGGUGUUUUACUCCCAUUAGAGGAACUUGUUCUAUAAUCGAUAAUCCUCGUUUUAUCUUACUUGAUUUUGUAUUCAGUAUGUAUAUCUCCGUUAUAAGUUUAUUUUUUUAGAAAUUAAUUAC
rnacentral:rRNA from 1 species